CCGUAGGUUCGGGUCGAACGCAGUGAGACAACGGAGCCGUUUACGGCGACGGCCCGAAGGGCGAGCGAAGCGAGUCAUCCUGCACGACCCACCA
rnacentral:sRNA from 1 species